CCUACGGGGGACAGCAGUGAGGAAUAUUGGUCAAUGGACGAGAGUCUGAACCAGCCAAGUAGCGUGAAGGAUGACUGCCCUAUGGGUUGUAAACUUCUUUUAUAUGGGAAUAAAAUGUUCCACGUGUGGGAUUUUGUAUGUACCAUAUGAAUAAGGAUCGGCUAACUCCGUGCCAGCAGCCGCGGUAAUACGGAGGAUCCGAGCGUUAUCCGGAUUUAUUGGGUUUAAAGGGAGCGUAGGUGGAUUGUUAAGUCAGUUGUGAAAGUUUGCGGCUCAACCGUAAAAUUGCAGUUGAAACUGGCAGUCUUGAGUACAGUAGAGGUGGGCGGAAGUCGUGGUGUAGCGGUGAAAUGCUUAGAUAUCACGAAGAACUCCGAUUGCGAAGGCAGUUCACUGGACUGCAACUGACACUGAGGCUCGAAAGUGUGGGUAUCAAACAGGAUUAGAUACCCGUGUAGUC
rnacentral:rRNA from 1 species